rnacentral:rRNA from 1 species
GUGGAUUGCACCAGAAGUGGGURYGCUAACCCGARAGGGAGGUAGCCCCCCAAGGUGUGGUUCAUGACUGGGGUGAAGUCGUAACAAGGUAGCMGUAGGUGAACCUGCAGAAGGAUCA